UCUGUUUCCUAUAGUAAAUCUCCGUUAGAGCUUCGCUCACUUCAACAAUUAAUUAUGUUCUUCACUCUUCUCUUAAUGAAUUCGUAUCACCUUCUUUUCUUUCUACUUCUUUAUAAACUUACUUCCAAAGAAACCCGAAACUCUCAUAAGCCGAAGUUAUGGCGAUGAAACCCAAUCAACAAUGGCCCCUAACAGUUCUAAAGCUAAAGCGGCAUGAAUUGUAUCCUCUCCAGUGUCUUCCGCUGUGAUAUCCAUCCGGAACUCCACCUCAAACGUUUUCGCACGAAGGAGACCCUAUCAGGAGUACUUCUCAGUAGGCUUUCCGCCUCUGCCUCAGCCUCCACCACAGCAAUACAAUCACUGCCUGUUCUCAUGAUAAUAAGCAACGAACGAAUCGUUCCAACUCCAUCUGUUUAUCAUCCUAUAUAAACCUCUAAUAUGAUUCUCUUAAACAAAACCCAUUUCAAAAAAUUGCGUUAGAUUUCUAAUCUUCAUGUACAUUUUGCAGGAAGAAAUUGUAAAGGCAGUCACUACGGAUCCAAACACUGGAUUGAAAGUUCCUUUCAGGUCAAGAUGUAGAGUAUGAGUGGGGCUCUGGAGACGGAUGAGAGAGUAUCGGCUCUAUUGGUGGUGCAUGAAGCAAUAGAACCGUGAGGAGACAGAGGUUCUAAAACAUUUUGGAUUCAUACUUUUUGUGAUGGAUAAGAUCAAGAGACUGUCGUAUGUGCCUGCAGCACUUAGUCUGAAGCAUGCACCUUCUACAAAAGCAGGUGUUAUCAAGAUGAAGAAUAAACUCGCCUAACACAAGUACAACCCGCACACCUAUUAAGAUCACUUGAUCUACGAGAUAAAAAAAGGGCUGGGCCUGGAUACAAGCCCAUCAAGCAUUUGCUUGAGGGCCGAUUACUAUAAAAAAAAAUUUGGGGCCAAUUUUUCAAAUAAUUAGGUAGCAGAGAUGGUGCAAGAAGCUAUAAUAUGAGACCCCUCUAUGGGUGCCCUGGGUUCGAAUGCCGAGUAGUGCAGUUCUGGGCCAAUUUUUUUUUUUGCUUCUAGUUUGCCAAAUGUCAGGCACGGCCCUGCCCAUUUAUGUUACGAUUAUUUACUGGAACCUAGACGAACAAAAACAGUAUGUUAUAAAAAGACUAGAGAGAGCUAAUAAAUAACAAACAUUUAUAAUCUGGGUAUGUAGAAGAGAUUUAGGAUGGAGAAGGAAGAGAUCGACCUCUGGACAAUACAAUGAUUGGUAAGAGAGACAAAAUAUGGUGACAACAAAUAUUCAAAGUGAAACAAUGGUAAAAAGAACCAAAUUAAUAAACAUGUAGAAGACCAAAGAUAAUUAUCCUGUUAGAAACAGAGAACCCCUCCAAAUUUGUGCAGAUAGAGAGAGAAGAUACAUUGAUAUGUGCCGAGAAUGUUUUGAUUAGCACUUACGAAUAAUAAAAAUGCUUGAGAAAGAAAUAAAGA